rnacentral:misc_RNA from 1 species
GAUGAAGAACGCAGCGAAAUGCGAUAAGUAGUGUGAAUUGCAGAAUUCAGUGAAUCAUCGAAUCUUUGAACGCACAUUGCGCCCCUUGGUAUUCCAUGGGGCAUGCCUGUUCGAGCGUCAUUUCAACCCAUCAAGCUUAGCGCUUGUGUUGGAGCCCUGCGGCCGCCGCAGCCUCCUAAAAUCAGUGGCGGGCUCGCUAUCACGCUGAGUGCAGUAGUAUUCUUCUCACUCCUGUGGUGUAGCGGGUAACCAGCCGUAAACCCCCCCAUCUAUAAAGGUUGACCUCGGAUCAGGUAGGAAUACCCGCUGAACUUAAGCAUAUCAAUAAGCGGAGGA